rnacentral:lncRNA from 1 species
UCUGUGCGACCGAGCCGCGCGCCAGGCUCCUGUGCGAGGAGGACGCGCUGACUCCCUCCGACCUGGGCUCCGAUGGAGCAGAAAUAGCGGGACCUGGACUUGUGGCGCGCCUGGUGCCACAUCUCGGGCUCUGCGAGCGUCCUGGCGCGGGAUCCUGCCGUGAGAAGGAGUUGGGGCGGGGGACCCGGCGGGGCAUUGCGGGAGAAGGCCUGGGAUCCCUGGGAGCCUUGUAGCGUGGGGGAGUUCACUGUGUAGAGAGGUUUCAUGUCUUCAUCUAUAUAGUCACUUAUUUGUCUUAAAGUUCUCGAAAUUCCCUCUUAGAGAAGGAGAAAGUUAGAGAACUGGAGGCUGCGUACCCUGAUUACGCAGAAGGGAAGCAGCCUCGCAUUCCCCGGGGCAGGCCCCCGCCCGCGCGUCCCGCCAGUAGGGGAAUUUAGCGGACGGCUGCGGUUGUCUGGUGAAAGGCUAUCCAAGGAUAAGGGGCUUCACUUUUCCCAAGUAGGGGAAAGAGAAGGGGUCUACAGGGCUAGGGGUGGAGGGAGCGGAUGCAGUGAGCAGCCUCCGCAGAGAAAUUGACAAUUUAACCAGGGACCUGCGGCAGAGACAAGGCGGAGACACUCCCUUGCCCAGGAAAGCCGCCAGAGUCCGGCUUGUACCUGGGGAAGAAUCCUUAAGACGGUCUGGCCCAACACUCCUUUGCUCACAGAGAAAGGGGAGAAGACUCCCGAGGGUGAAAAUGGUACAUUCGGAGCUGGAACUCAGCUCGCUGACCCCAAGCAGUGUUCCCUUCUUUUCGCCAGGUUUGCAUCCAAGAGAGGGGAGGACAGGGGCAAAAGGAUGCAGGGAGGCUGCUGAUUUCCACUGAAGAGCUAAUUUCCUGUGAGACAUUAACAGUGAUUUAAGAAAAAGAUUCCUGUAACUGGUAAAUGAAUUUCAUUUGCUUAACUUUUAGAUGAUAUGUUUCAGGCAAAAAAAAAGUUGUGCACCCACUUAUCUCUUUAAAGCGGAGGAUGAAAAGCAUUGAAUAGGUAGGAUUCUUAAUGUCUGAGAUGAAGGCGAUGUAGGAGGCAAACAAUACGGUUAAAAAUGUUGAGUCGACCCAAACAGAAAGACCAGGUUUCAAUCCAGACUCUGCGGCUUACUGAGAAUAUGAUCUUGAGUAAACUGCUUGACCUUCCUGAGCCUCAGCUUUCUUAGUUGUUAAAUGGACUUUAACAAUACUAAUCUGUUAGGACUGUGGUGAGGAUGAAAUCAGGGAAAUCAGUCACAGCAGUGCUCUCCUGGCACAGGCAGGAGAAUCGCUUGAACCCAGGAGGCAGAGGUUGCAGUGAGCCGAGAUCACACCACUGCACUCCAGCCUGUAAUGUCUUACAAUAACAGAAUGCAGGAGAGCACAUAUCAAUGAAGAAAAGACAAAAUGUACUUAUCCAUGAAGCUGAGGUUAAGAAACCAGUGUCUUCAAGAGCCAGGGACAGCACUGGGUCUGUGCAGAGUUGAGAGAUGGUGAUGACAUGUGGUUUCCAGCAUUCCUCACCCAGUCCAGGGACACUGUGGGUGUGCCCAGCUUAAGUCCAGUAACUGGAAAUACAAGCCCAAGUUCUGGAGAGUUUGAGCUGCAGAGAUAUAUAUGGGAACACUUUGAAUCUUGACUCAUUGGCCAUAACCAGCAGAGUGGAAAAUACAAGAAGAGAAAAAAACAUUGAACUGCGAUUUUAUAACAUCCUUUACUAGGCAGAGAGAAGAGGAAACACCAGGAAAGAAAACUGUAUUACGAUGUGAAAACUUAAUGUUGAGAAAUUCAGGCAUCUUGGGGUUAGUGAGGAGAAGUUUUAGGGGCUUAGAUUCUUCUAAACACAUGUACAGAAAUGCAUAUUUCAUCUGAUAUCAAAUGGCAUUUAUAGUGCUAAUCUUUACCUCAAGACUUCACAUCUUUUGGUGAUUGCAUCUUUUAGGUUUAUAGCAGCUAAGUUUGCAUGAAAACACCAGGGCUGUUUCAUUUCAGUCAAGAAUUAAUGUUCAUUGAUUGUGCUUCUGCAUUUCAUGUAACUAUUGUAGAAUUUGUUUUAGUUUUAUGAGGGAAUAAUUGUUCCAACUUCUAUAUAACUCAGGAAUUUACUCUCAAACAACACUGUCAAUUAGUUACUUAUCUCUCUGGAAAUGAUCUGGGAACAUGGAGAGGAAAGGGAGGAAGGGGCAAAAUCUGACCACUUAAAUCUAAGCAUAUUAGAUCAUUUUAUGCUAGAAAGUCCUGAAUGAUGUGACUUUCGUUCUUGUAAAACACCUCUUUCCAUAGAUUCAUGGCCCAAACAGUAUAUAAAGAGUGGGGAAGGAACUGCAUUUGCAAAUAGUUCAAAUCAUUGCUCCAUCUUAACUACGCAGUUCACAAAGUGUGAAGAAAUGUGAUCAUCUCAAAAAAGAUAAUGGGGAAAAAAUAUGUUUUGUUCUGUGACUUUAAAGUCUUGCAAUAUUUUACAUAAAUGAUAAUGGGUGCUUUAAUAAGAACUCUUGAUACUUUUGUUAUUGUAUUCAAUAUAUGCAUAUAAUACAACAGGAUGAUAUUGUUUUGGAUUUGGAAAUGUAUUCUUUCUUAUGCAAUCUUAUGCAGUCAUACUGCUUGAAUAUCAUUACCUGAAUUUAUCUUUCUUUUUUUUGUUGUUGUUUUACACUCUACUUAUUUGGUGCCUGUCAGUCUUUUGUCGUCAGUUUAUAUUCUACUAAACUCAAAAAGACAAUCUCAUACCUUUUGUAAUUGUAGGCAUUCUUUACUAGAUUUUUAAAUACACUUCAAAAAUUCAAGUACUUUGAUUUCAUGCCAUCAAGUAGCUGAAUCUAUCCCCCCGUCUCUUUUUAAAUUUAAGUGAGUAGUUCAAUUUCUGUCACUUUCUACUUUGUGAAUUCUAAAUCUUUUAAAACCAUCUUGCCAUUUUUCGUGCACUUACCCUUACAGAAAACUCUGUGAAACACUACUUAUCUCUACUUUUAUGUUUUUAACUCCUUUUUUAUAUUACUAUUCCCUCUGCUUUCUAAAUGCACAUAUUAAUUUGUUCUUUUUAUUCUCUGUAGCUCUUCUCAGUGUAUGAAUUCAGUUUCCCAUCAGUCUCCAUACAAUUAAAAAAAAGUUGAGUAUUCUGUUAUUUUAAUAAGAUAUCUAGUGCCCAUAUUCUAAUUCUGCCCCUUAUUUUUAAUAUAAUUUUAUUGUUGAUUUAAAAUGACAACAGUUUCAAUUCCCAGAAAGUGAAAGGAAACAAAGGAAUAAUAUUAUAGGCUUAAUUUUUAUCAGUGAACUUGUAGGUGAAGAAAAGAUUUGGGGAAGGAAAUGAACAUAUUAUAUUGCAAAAUAGUAAGGAACAAUCAGAUGUGUUUUCUAGUCUCUGGAAAAGCAUGUUUCAAGAAAUUCAAUGAAAAGUUCAUCAUGCUUGCUUAGAUUGUUGAGAAGCAAAAACACUGAUGAACAUUUGGAAGCAAUGAGAAUGUAAUUCUAAUCAUACUCUUUUAAUAAUGUUGCAAAACUCUCCAAACACUACUCUGUGUGGAUGUCUUUCAGAAUAUGAUGAAUACUAGUAGUCUUAUUCUGCCCUUUUCUCUCUAUCACAAUAUAUACAUUCUAUAUUGCAUACACAUAUUUUCCAAAUAUUACAUAUAAUUUCAUGUAAUUUAUAGACCUAUUAAGGCCCAACCAUUUUCUUGGAUAGGGGAUUCUUUAGAAGUCCAGCUUAAAUAAAGCCCGUAUAGAAAGUUUUUUUAAAAUUUAUACAUAAUCACCUAAAGUAACCUUAUCUACUGAACUCUUAGUACAUGCUACUGGAACCUUUUAUCAUGUUUCUUCCUGGCUUGCAUUACAACACUGUUGACAUAUCUCAGCCUUACUUCUAGGCUUCUUUGAGAGCAUGACUCAUGUUUGUAUUCCUCACUGAGGUUGAAUGAAUAAGAGAAACUACAGUAGUAGGAAAAAACAGUACAUGUACAUAUCAAUGAAUAUGAAAGGGUCAAAUGGAUCUAUUAUAGUAAGCACAAAAUCAACUGACACCAGCAAAGUAAACCCAAAAUUUUUAAUGGUAUUUUAAUAGAUCAAGAGGAGCAAGCAGAUUUUUGAGACAGUUGUCUCCUACUUUCUCUAUCACAGGGAGUAAUUUUAAAAGAAAAAUGGAGGGUAAGUUUCUUUAAGAGAAAAUUGUAGUUUAAAACAGGUCAUGGGAUAAUUAGAAAUAAUUUAAUUUCUUUAGAGGAUUUUAAUCUUUCAACUGCUUGCAAUUAGAUCCUAAGGCAAUAAAAGAAUAAGGAGAUUUGGAAAACCAUUGUCUGUAAUCUCUGAAGAAAAGUGGACAUUAGGGGAGUCAGUUGAAAAGCAAAGCUAUCACCAUUUUCUAAAGAGGAAAAAGGUGAACCUCACAAACUAUAGACCAAAAAAAUAGGACAUCGAGAGAAAGAAUAUGAAGCUAGCAUAGGUUCACAAAGAAUGAGUCAAAUCAAACAACAUGCAUUUUUUAUUUAUAAAGCAUGACUUGUUCAUUGUCAAUUCAUGUUAGCUUAAUCAUUAGGCAUUAAUGCCAUCACUGCAAUGCAUAUGUCAGCAAUAAAUAAUCAAAGACCAGGCUUCCAUCAUUCUGUUUAAUAUCUUCAAGUAAUGCUUAAGUUUGCAAAUGCUCUUUUAACACAUUCUCCAUAUGCAGCCUGCCCAGCACUGCACACAAUAGACCUGUUACUUCCCCCUCACGAGCACUCCUAAUAUUUCAUGUGCUCAUCCAAUUGACUUCUCCCACUGGUGCCUCAUAUUGAAUUUGUAGAAUCACACCUGCUCCUUUUUCAAAACUCUUCUGAGUUUUUUCUUAAAUAAUUCACUGACCCCAAAGUUGUCAGAUAUUUGAAGACUACUCGCACAAUUUUAAUAUUAUAAAUGUAUAAUGUAAAUGUAAUUAAGAUUUGUAUAAUGUACGAUGUACUUUGGUAAAUAAAAGUAUGCUGUGAAUAAAUACGUAUGAUACAAUUCAAAAUUUUACAUAAAUAUGUGAUAAAAUUUAGCUCAUAUUCUUUUUUUUUUUCUUUGAGACGGAGUCUCACUCUGUUGCACCCAGGCUAGAGUGCAGCAGCAUGAUCUCAGCUCACUGCAACCUCUACCUCCUGGGUUCAAACAAUUCUCCUGCCUCAGCCUCCUGAGUAGCUGGGAUUACAGGUGCCCGCCACCAUGCCCAGCUAAUUUUUUUCUAUUUUUGUUGUUGUUGUUGUUUUUAGUAGAGACGGGGUUUCACCAUGUUGGUCAGGCUGGUCUUGAACUCCUGACCUCAGAUAAUCCACCUGCCUCGGCCUCCCAAAGUUCUGGGAUUACAGACGUGAACCACGGUGCCCGGCCUAGUUCAUGUUCUUUAAGGACAAUUAUGAAUAUUUUUAUGCACUGUUAAUUUUCAUUAAGAUAUUGAUCAAUUAAUAGCUAUAUAUGUUCUAUAAAUUAAUCCUAUCUAGUUUCAAUCUUAAAUUGUUUGCAUAUACCAAUCUAGUUUAUUGUUUGCAUAUAUUUUAUAGUGUAGAGAUUAGGCAUUUUAAUAAAAUUUUAAAAUUUCCAGGACAUACUGUUAAUGACUAUGCUUCCUACUAUAGGCCAUAAUUAAUUUUUUUCUAUUGUCAACAAUAUUUUGGUAGGGAUGAUCAGGAAAUAAGGAAAUGUUUCCUUCAUUUGUUAACAAUAGGUGUUUGGGGAUUUUAAAAUGAAAAUUGAAGAAGUAAAAGACACCAUAUAUUUAGUUUGUUUGAUUUCGUGGCUUCAAGAGUUCAAUAAUUUAUUGAAAUAUUUUACAGACCAAAGAACAACAGAUAUAUUACGUUUAUAAGCCCCCACAUAUUUUAAAGGAUAAUGGUUUAUAUAUGAAAAUUCCCUGAACCUACACUUCAUC